ACUUUUAAUAAUAGAUCUCUUAGUUCUAGCAUUAAUAAAGAACGCAGCGAAAUGCGAUAAGUAGUGUAAAUUAUAGAAUUUAGUAAAUUAUUAAAUCUUUAAACGCACAUUGCGCCCCUUAGUAUUCUAUAGGGCAUACCUAUUCAAGCGUUAUUUAUACCCUUAAGCUCUACUUAGUGUUAGGUGUUUGUUCUACUUAGGACUUGCCUUAAAAUAAUUGGCAGCCAGUAUAUUAGCCUAGAGCGCAGCACAUUUUGCGCCUCUUAUUAUAGUUAUUAGCAUCUAUUAAGACACUUUUUAAGCUCUUAACCUUAGAUUAGGUAGGGAUACCUGCUAAACUUAAGCAUAUUAAUAAGCGGAGGAAAAGAAACUAAUAGGGAUUGCCCUAGUAACGGCGAGUAAAGCGGCAACAGCUUAAAUUUAAAAUCUAGCUCUUUUAGGGUCUAAGUUAUAAUUUGCAGAGGGCGCUUUAGCGUUAGUAGCAGUCUAAGUUCCUUAGAAUAGGACGUUAUAGAGGGUAAGAAUCCUGUACGUGGUCGCUAGCCUUUACUAUAUAAAGCCCCUUUAACAAGUUAAGUUAUUUAGGAAUAUAGCUCUAAAUAGGAGGUAAAUUUCUUCUAAAGCUAAAUACUAGCUAGAGACUAAUAGCGUAUAAGUAGAGUAAUUAAAAGAUAAAAAGCACUUUAGAAAGAGAGUUAAAUAGCACGUGAAAUUAUUAAAAGGGAAGCGCUUGCAGCUAGACUUGCCUGUAGUUACUUAUCUAGGCUUUUGUCUAGUGCACUCUUCUAUAGGCAGGCUAGCAUUAGUUUAGGCAGUUAGAUAAAGGUCUCUAUCACGUACCUCCCUUUAGGGAGGCCUUAUAGGGGAGACAAUAUGCAACUAGCCUAGACUAAGGUCCGCGUAUCUACUAGGAUGCUGGCGUAAUAGCUAUAAGCGGCCCAUCUUAAAACAUAGACUAAGGAGUCUAACAUCUAUACAAGUGUUUAGGUGUUAAGCCUAGACGCGUAAUAAAAGUAAACAGAGGUAGGAACCCUUUUAGGGUGCACUAUUAACUAAUCCUAAUGUCUUUAGAAGGAUUUAAGUAAGAGCAUAGCUAUUAGGACCUAAAAGAUAGUAAACUAUGCUUAAAUAGGGUAAAGCUAGAGGAAACUCUAGUAGAGGCUCGCAGCAGUUCUAACGUGCAAAUUAAUUGUUAAAUUUAGGCAUAGGGGCAAAAGACUAAUUAAACUAUCUAGUAGCUAGUUCCUGCUAAAGUUUCCCUUAGGAUAGCAGUAACGUAUUUAGUUUUAUAAGGUAAAGCGAAUAAUUAGAGGCCUAGGGGUUAAAAUAACCUUUACCUAUUCUUAAACUUUAAAUAUAUAAGAAGUCCUUAUUACUUAAUUAAACGUAGACACUUAAAUGUACUGUUACUAGUGGGCUAUUUUUAGUAAGCAGAACUAGUAAUACAGGAUAAACUAAACGCGGGGUUAAGGUGCUAGAAUGCACGCUUAUUAGAUACUACAAAAGGUGUUAGUUUAUCUAGAUAGUAGGAUAGUAGCUAUAGAAGUUAGAAUCUGCUAAGGAGUGUGUAAUAACUUACCUGCUAAAUAAACUAGCCCUAAAAAUAGAUAGCGCUUAAGCGUGUUACCUAUACCCCGCCGCUAGGGCAAGAUUUAAGCCCUAGCGAGUAGGCAGGUGUGGAGGCUUGUAACAAAGCCUUAGGGGUAACCCUAGGUAGAAUAGCCUCUAGUGCAGAUCUUAGUAGUAGUAGCAAAUACUUAAAUAAGAACUUUAAGGACUAAAGUAGGGAAAGGUUCAGUGUAAAUAGCAGUUAGAUAUAGGUUAGUUAAUCCUAAGAGAUAGGGUAAUUCUAUUUUAAUAUUAGUGCUUGCGCCGCGCCCUUAAAAGGGAAGCUAGUUAAUAUUCUAGCACCUAGAUGUAGAUUCUCCGCAGCAACGUAACUAAGAGUAGAGACCUUAGCAGGAGCCCUAAGAAGAGUUCUCUUUUCUUCUUAACAGUCUGUCACCCUAAAAUUAGUUUGUCUAGAGCUAGGGUUUAAUAGCUAGAAGAGCGCUGCACUUUUGCAGCAUUUAGUGCGCUCCUAACAAGCCUUAAAAAUCUACUUAAAGAAAUAGUUUUUACGCUAGGUUAUACUUAUAACCGCAGCAGGUCUCUAAGGUAUAUAAAGCCUCGUGAGUUAAUAGAAUAAUAUAGAUAAGGGAAGUUAGCAAAAUAGAUCUAUAACUUUAGGAAAAGGAUUAGCUCUAAGGGUUAGGUACGUUAGGCCUUAGGGAGAAGCCUCUAGCGUAGAAGGGCACUAACCAUAAGGUAGGCGCCUCUUAGCGCUAGGGUGCAGACACCCUUAGCAGGUUUUAGCUAUCUAGCGUACGUUUAACAACUAACUUAGAACUAGUAUAGAUAAGGGGAAUCUAACUAUCUAAUUAAAACAUAGUAUUGUAAUAGCUAGAAAGUAGUGUUAACGCAAUGUGAUUUCUGCCUAGUGCUCUAAAUAUUAAAGCAAAGAGAUUUAACCAAGCGCGGGUAAAUAGCAGAAGUAACUAUAACUCUCUUAAGGUAGCUAAAUGCCUUGUUAUCUAAUUAGUAACGCGCAUAAAUAGAUUAACGAGAUUCCUACUAUCCCUAUCUACUAUCUAGCAAAACCAUAGCUAAGGGAACAGGCUUAGCUAAAUUAGCAGGGAAAGAAGACCCUGUUAAGCUUGACUCUAGUUUAACAUUAUGAAAAGAUAUAGGGGGUGUAGAAUAGGUAGGAGCUUUAGCGCUAGUAAAAUACUACUACCCUUAUUGUUUUUUUACUUAUUUAAUAAAGCGGAGCUAGGCCUUACCACCUAACUUCUAGCGUUUAAGGUCCUUUAUAGGCUAAUCUAGGUUAAAGAUAUUAUUAGGUAGGGAGUUUAGCUAGGGCGGCAUAUCUAUUAAACUAUAACGCAGGUGUCCUAAGGGGGACUUAUAGAGAAUAGAAAUCUCUAGUAGAGCAAAAGGGUAAAAGUCCCCUUGAUUUUAAUUUUUAGUGUGAAUACAAACUAUAAAAGUGUGGCCUAUUAAUCCUUUAGUCCCUUAAAAUUUAAGGCUAGAGGUGCUAGAAAAGUUACUACAGGGAUAACUGGCUUGUGGUAGCUAAGCGUUUAUAGCGACGUUACUUUUUAAUCCUUUAAUAUUAGCUCUUCCUAUUAUACUAAAGUAGAAUUUAGUAAGCGUUAGAUUAUUCACCUACUAAUAGGGAACGUAAGCUAGGUUUAGACUGUUAUAAGAUAGGUUAGUUUUACCCUACUAAUAACCUUGCCUUAAUAGUAAUACUGCUUAGUACAAGAGGAACCGCGGUUUUAGAUAAUUAGUUUUUGCGGCUAUCUAACUAGGCAUUGCUGUAAAGCUACUAUCUGCUAGAUUAUGGCUAAACGCCUCUAAGUUAGAAUCUAUGCUAGAAUAGGGUGAUUUCUGCCUGCACUAGUUAGAUACAAAUAGGCCUUUAGCCUAGAACCUUACUAGAUUAGCGUUGGCAGCCCUAUUAAAGUUAGAGUUGUUAGCUAGUGUAUUGUAAUUGUAUAGUGCGUAGGAUUAAAUCCUUUAUAGAUAACUUAGUUGUCUAGCUAGGUUGUGUAAGUAGUUAAGUAGCCUUGUUGUUACGAGCUACUAAGCGUAAGCCUGUUGCUAGCUUGGUUAAAAUUAGGAUAUUAUACCCUCCUUAUUUGCAAAACUGCUGCCUAAAUAGCUACUAUUAAUAGAAGGAAGAGGGCUAUAGCUAACAUGUUAUAUAGCAAUUGCAAGAUAGCGAGGGCUAGAGCUAGAAGUAAUCCUUACAAAAUAUACAAAAGAACAGGUUGUGUGUGUACGUACCUUAGGCAGUUAAAUUAUAGUAUAUAAAGAUUAAGAAAGGAUAUAAAAUAAUCUAUAUAUAUUUGUAGGUGGUGUUCUAUAACUUAGGGCGUUCUAUAACUUUUUACUUCUUAGGGGUAGUGUUCUAUAACUUAGGGCGUUCUAUACUUAAAAAAUCUUAUAGGCUAUUCUAUAACUAUAGAUUAUUCUAAACCUUUAGGGCAUUCUAUUAAUGUUUUAAAAAAUCUAGUAGGCUAUUUUAUAAGCUUAUAGCGUUCUAUAACUUUAGGGCGUUCUAUAACUUUAGGGCGUUCUAUAACUUAGGGCGUUCUAUAACUUUUUACUUCUUAGGGGUAGUGUUCUAUAACUUAGGGCGUUCUAUAACCCUUUAUUUUUUAGGGGUAGUGUUCUAUAACUUAGGGCGUUCUAUACUUAAAAAAUCUUAUAGGCUAUUCUAUAACUAUAGAUUAUUCUAAACCUUUAGGGCAUUCUAUUAAUGUUUUAAAAAAUCUAGUAGGCUAUUUUAUAAGCUUAUAGCGUUCUAUAACUUUAGGGCGUUCUAUAACUUAGGGCGUUCUAUAACUUAGGGCGUUCUAUAACUUUUUACUUCUUAGGGGUAGUGUUCUAUAACUUAGGGCGUUCUAUAACCCUUUAUUUUUUAGGUGGUGUUCUAUAACUUAGGGCGUUCUAUAACUUUUUAUUUUUAGGGGUAGUGUUCUAUAACUUAGGGCGUUCUAUAACCUUUUAUUUUUUAGGGGUAGUGUUCUAUAACUUAGGGCGUUCUAUAACUUUUUAUUUUUAGGGGUAGUGUUCUAUAACUUAGGGCGUUCUAUACUUAAAAAAUCUUAUAGGCUAUUCUAUAACUAUAGAUUAUUCUAAACCUUUAGGGCAUUCUAUUAAUGUUUUAAAAAAUCUAGUAGGCUAUUUUAUAAGCUUAUAGCGUUCUAUAACUUUAGGGCGUUCUAUAACUUAGGGCGUUCUAUAACCUUUUACUUCUUAGGGGUAGUGUUCUAUAACUUAGGGCGUUCUAUAAGCUUUUAUUUUUUAGGGGUAGUGUUCUAUAACUUAGGGCGUUCUAUAACUUUUUAUUUUUAGGGGUAGUGUUCUAUAACUUAGGGCGUUCUAUAACCUUUUAUUUUUUAGGGGUAGUGUUCUAUAACUUAGGGCGUUCUAUAACUUUUUAUUUUUAGGGGUAGUGUUCUAUAACUUAGGGCGUUCUAUACCUUUUGUUUAUUCUAUUACUUUAGUGCUUUCUAUAACUUUAGACUAUUCUAUAAUAGUAGCUAUUAUAUCCUUUUUAUAAUCCUUAUAGUAUUAUACUAUUAUCUAUUAUUCUUUACUCUUAAGUAUAUCCUUAUAUUUUAUAAAUCUUUUUCUUUACUAGCUAGUCCUACUAUACUUUUUUAUAACCUACUAGUAUUAAAUAAUACCUUUAUAUUCUUCCUCUAUACUAUCUCUAUUUCUUGCCUUAUAUAUUAAGUAGAUAUAGAUAGAGCUAAUAGAUCUAUAGUUAAUAUAGAUAAAGUAGUUAUAGUAGAGUAUAGAUAUUAGAGUAGAGAUCCUUAUCUAUAUAUUUACCUUCUACUAAUAGAAUUCUAAGUUGCUCUUAUCUAGCGAAUACAGGUUUAUAGUUUGUAUAGGGCUGCGCAUGUCUACACAGUUUUAUAUACAAAAAAGUGUACCUCUAAGCUAUUUUCUACUACACUAACCCUGCGACGCAAAAAUUAAACUAAAACCUAUUCCUAUAAUAUAUAAGGAGGGCAAAUAGAUUCUUAAAUACUAAAUACUUAACUAACUAACUAAGGUUAAAUCUGCUGCGCGCAGUUCUUGGAUUAGGCAGUUAAACUAGCGUUGUUAGGUACUAAGGGGGCAAUUUUUGCUUGUGUCCGCGUCUAUACUCCCUAUAACUCCCUAUUGUUAGCGCUCUGCGCCUGUUUUAGUAGUAGUUAGACUAAAUUUAAAAGUUUUAGUUUUAUAAUAGCUAGCCUUGUUUCCUAGAUUUCUGCCUAGUUUAGAUUUGCUCUAAUUAGUAGGUAAUUAGGGGCUUAGAGAUUGCUCUUCUACUUAACUAGGCAGGCCUAGGCCUAUAUGCUAAGGCAACCCUACUAUUACGCCUAGUUUUAUAGUUAGCACCUAAAGUCCUACUAUUAAAGUUUUAGUAGUAAGCAAAAUUUAGGGUCUAUAGAUAGCUAGCACUGCUAAACUAUUUAAUAGAUCUUAGGGGACAGCCCUGCCUAGCAUCUACUCCUAGUAAGUGUGGCAAAGCGUAGGUUUUCUCUACUUAAGGCAUGUAUAUAGCGAGUUUAAACACGCAGAAAUACCUAUUAGGCUUUAUUGUAGACUAUUCCUUAAGAAACUUAGUAGGGGUAAUUAAAUUAGUUGCUAGUUAUAACUAGUGCCUUAUAUGCUAUUAUACUAGUAGCUAGAAUUGCUUCUGCGAUUUCUUAUUACUUACUUUCUACCUUCUUUUAGGGGUAGUGCUUGUGCGCUUUAGCGUAUUAGGUAUUAGGAUUAUUACCUAGUUAAUUCUGCUAGUAGUUAUAUACUUAUCUUAAAGAUUAAGCUAUAUAUAUCUAACUAUAAGUAAUUAUACUAUAAAACUACAAAUGGCUUAUUAAAUUAGUUAUUGUUUAUUUAAUAGUACCUUACUACUUAGAUAACUAUAGUAAUUCUAGAGCUAAUAUAUGCUAAAAACCCUAACUUUAGAAGGGGUGUAUUUAUUAGAUAAAAAACUAACGCCCUUUAGGGCUUCUUAGUAAUUUAUAAUAACUUUACAGAUCGCAUGGCCUUGCGCUAGCAAUGGUUUAUUCAAAUUUCUGCCCUAUUAACUUUU
rnacentral:rRNA from 1 species